GUGGCCUAGUGGUUAGAGUGUCUGCCUCAGAUGCUGGAGGUCGUGGGUUCGAUCCCUGGUCAAGUCA